rnacentral:rRNA from 1 species
UACGUAGGGUGCAAGCGUUGUCCGGAAUUAUUGGGCGUAAAGAGCUCGUAGGCGGUCUGUCGCGUCUGCUGUGAAAAUCCAGGGCUCAACCCUGGACCUGCAGUGGGUACGGGCAGACUAGAGUGCGGUAGGGGAGAUCGGAAUUCCUGGUGUAGCGGUGAAAUGCGCAGAUAUCAGGAGGAACACCGAUGGCGAAGGCAGCUUGCUGGGACGGUACUGACGCUGAGACGCGAAAGCGUGGGGAGCAAACAGG